GCUUGCUUAACUUGCCUGAAGCCCUGGGU
rnacentral:piRNA from 1 species